UACAUAUCGAAAUUUUCGGCAGCGGCUAGAAUUGAAGGGUGAGUGCAGAGACGUAGCAGAACAUUUUAAGCAAUGUAUUGAGUUGGAGUUUGACGAAAUUCCCGAGGAUGCGGCUCUCCAUCCCACAUGCUACCGGAGGUUUAUUGACAAGCGGGAAAUUGAACGAGUCACACGGCGUGUCUUGCGAGAGGCAGAGAGGGGAGAUGGCCAACAAGACCCCCGAACUAGCCAGGCUACCUCCGCUUUAUCGGCUGUGACCACCACUCCGACCAGGAAACUGCGAUCCAGAUCAAGCUUGGCCAUCACGAGCUCUGGCCCCGUUCUUCCUGCUGUCUGCAUGAUUUGCAAGAAAGACAGCAAAUGUAUCGUCGCGAGUGGCAGACGUCAAAGAGAACGAAAACACAGACUUUAACCGCAGGCAAGUUGCAGGAAGCAGCUGAAGUAAAGGAAGCCAAGAGCAUCCUCAUUCACAUCAAGGACAGAGACUGUGUGGCUCUGGAGGUGCAGUACCACAGAAGUUGCUACAGAGAGUACACAAGGUUUUUGAGUGAGCCUGUCAGAGCAGAGAAAGAACAGAUUGGGCCAACAUUUGAUCUGAGCUACAAGUUAUUCUGCGAGAGGGUAAUCCGCUAAAGGCUACUGAUCAACCAAGAGGUGCUGAGGAUGAGCCAACUGAGGAAGGCCUUUAUUGCCCUUGUGCAGUCAAGUGAAGGUGUUGAUGCUUCAACCUACAGACAGGAUAUAUUGAAGAAGAGGCUCAGUCGUGAUUUUCCUCAGCUAGUGUUCCACACCCCCGCCAAACGCAACACAUCUGAACUGGUUUUUGCUGAGAACUUGUCGACGAAUGCAGUCUUGGACUUGUUACCAUCAGGUGCGGAGACGACUCAGUCCAGCGAAAUGAGCCAGACAGACAGCGACACAGAAAGGAGGAAGUCAAAGCAACCAACCACAGCAGAGGAGACACGGACACUUUACACAGCAGCUUUGCUUUUGAAGAGGCUGCUUAGUAACAGUCCUGGCAUGUCAUGCCCAUGGCCCCCAACUGCAGUAAACUUCAAUCUCACUGAAGUCAUUUUCUGUGGCAUGCGCAAAAGAUGUGUACCUGGAUGCUUUCACACAGUUCAUGAAAAUGCCGGUUCAUGUGUAUGCCACUUGUUUUGAUUUUUUUAUUUGUUGUAUAGUUAUUAGUGAAUAAAUGAAUACAUGAA